rnacentral:lncRNA from 1 species
AAUACUUCUAUCUGCCCUUUGUUGCACAUUUUGCAUGCCUGCCUGUUCCUCUACUGCUGCUGCUCGGUCUGUUUCUCUCUAAUCUACGCCUCAAACACUUCCCCUACCCAAUUCCAGGAGCUAACACAAAUGUAAAAUGUAAAUUGUGGCCUAGAUUGCUGCUACCGGAGUGUGGAGAGAGAUGCCAGAUUCUGUAAUAGCCUAGAUGUGUCGGGGAUCAACUUCCAGGUCCUUGCAUAUUGACAAACUCUUCUUGUAUCCAUCACUUGGGUUUCCUAUCGAGUUGUCUUCUUGGGCCAAUUAUGUACAUUUCCCAUGUGUUUUUCUUGGCAUACAGAGAACUCUAUAUUUGAGACCGUGAAGCCAACUUACUUCACAUUGAAACUUCCUUCUCUUUCACUUCCCUAUGAUAAAGCCUGAAGGAUAAUUCUGCCAAUAUUUUCUUCCAGCAAUAAUCAACUAUCUUACUAUCUGUAGUAAGUAGCUACUACAAAAUGUUAUGGCACAAUUGACAAUGACAUUAUACUACACAAACUUUCACCUCUGUCCUCAAGACAUUUUUACCAAAGAAGGGUUUUGAUUAUUCUGAACUCUAAGACUACUUCAAGACAAAAAGGAGGGAAGAACAUGUGCCAAGACACAGAUGUGCAGACCCAGUGCUGCCGGGAGGAUGGGGACAAGGAAGACAUCAAUGUGGUGAAUGAUGACUCAGGUUAGGGAUGGCAGGAGAGGAACUGAAAAGAAAGAUUGUGUUCUAACGAUGCAGUAAAGAAUCUGGAUCUCACCCAGUAAGCAGCAGAAAAGGCUCAAAGGACAUUUUUUCUCCAGAGACAUUAUCCAUUGGUUUUUUUAGGGAAAACAAAAUAACACCUGGUCAUGCUAUAGAGCAUUAACUGGGGAAGAGAGAAUGAGUGAGAGAAACACUGUUGCAACUAUCAGAGCAAGAGAUGAUGGGACCUAGUUUAGGGCAGUGAGAGUGUGUGCGUGGAGUGGAGGGGGCUCAUUUUGGAAAUCUUUCUGAGGCAUAGGCAAUGGUACUUAGUGUUCCACUGAUACUAUGGGUAAAGGAUGAGGGGUCAAAGUGGAGAGUGACUUCCUUAACCAAAGGAGGACAAGAAAAAGAAGCGAUGUUGCCGAAUGACAUUUACAAAAGUGUAUUUUCUAGUUGCAAGGAGUCUGAGAUACCUACGGAUUCUCCAAACAGGAUACCUAUAGACAGCUGAAAAUACAAGACUGGUUUUACACAGCAAUGUCAGAGCUGAAGAGACAGGUGAUAAUCACAGGCAUGAAUGUAUUGAAGUUACUGAGGGACUACAAAGUGAACAUAACUGGGAACAGCACCAUCAAAACGAUCAGCAUUUAAAGAGCAGGGAGUGGGAAGAGCCAAUGAUUGAAGCUGAGACUAAACUAACUGAAGAGAAAAUCAAGGCACAAUUCUUGCUAUAAUAUCCGAAGAGGGAACUUGCGGCAGACGGACUGGAGGGUGGGAUUUGCAUUCCUGUUUGGAGUCAGGAUUUCCAUGGUCUACACCUCAUGUGUUGCAUGUAGACGUUCAAGGUAUUUUUAUUGUGAUAUGUCAGCACACAGAAUUGGAAGGCAUGUCACAAGGUCAGGAGUUCGAGUUCUGUUGAUAGUCUCAGACCUCUUCCAACUUCAACAAGGUCAACAAGAUAAACCACAAACCUGGAUGAGUUCAUGUUAUUCCAGAUGCAUUAUCUCCUAAUCUUCAGGAAGAGGCUCCUUCAGCGGGAAGGAGCAUGGCAGGAUCUUCCCUGAAAAAACAGAAAUAGCCGUGUCUAAUCCCUGCUCUGCCUGGAAAGGAAAAGGCUCACCUACUUCCCAUGUCAAGGCAAGAAUCAGAAUUCCUCUCAAAUUCUUAAAACAUUGCAAAGUAAAGACAGAUACUAACUCUAAAUAUGAUUCAUGCUCAAGUUAUUAAAAAUGGAAUACAUUGUACCAGAAGGAAAAUGGUAAACAAUUUUAAAUUCCAAAGGCAAGGGAAUGUUUUUGGUUUAAUAACCAGAGUAUGGCUUCAACAGGAGCUUAUGUAGUAUACACACCAUAAUUAAAUCUAAUUCAAUCACCUGAGUAAUCAAGUGGUUAAGCGAAUAAACUAAGUAAUCAAUCGUAAAAGUGAUUUGCUGUUUAGAAGAAAGAAGUUGUAAUAUGUGUGCCAAUAUUUUUAAAGAAUAAGGAAUCUCAGGUCUUCAACUCUGUCAACAAUUAUUAGCAUUGUUUUGUUUCAGUCUUCUUAUUUACAGAGUAAAAAGACCAUUCAUUCAUUCAACAAGUAUUUAUGGAAAGCAGCAUUUUCUGAACAUGAUUCCUGCACUCAAGGUGUUUUACAAUCAUGUGGCCUGCCACUUUAUUGAAGAUGUUUUAGGGAAAACAAUUAACUUUUGACAAAGUUCAGAAUUAUUCAAACAUAACAUAAAUGGCCAAUGAAUCUUUUCAGAGAAAGCAUAGUCUAGUGGAUAAAUAUUUACACUAGUCUGCCCCUGAGUCUUACAAUUUUUCUAUGUCCAUUUUUCCUCACUCUGUAAUGGUGGGCAGACAGAAGGUGGGGCUAGCUGACCUUCAAAUUCCCUUCCAAUUUUUAUGAAAUACAAUUUUUAGUAUUAAGUGAGUAAUCACAUUGUGCAAGGUGCUUACCUGGAUAUAGCUCAGUUCUUUUUCUGAUUGCAAGAACAGAGCAAGAUGGAACCAUGAACUGCUAAACGACCCAUGGCAAUUUUUAAAGGAUUCCUCAAGCAGAUGGUUCUCUGGUAGUUCUUACAGCAGGAAAAGCCCCCUACAGUUCACAAAAGAGUCAAGUUGCAUUCUUCCAAACUGUCCUGAUUUUGCCGAUUUGCACAAUCUAAUAAAAUCUUUCCAUCAUAUUUCUCUUUUCCAUUUGUGGACCACUACUCAGUGAGUACAUUUAUUAUGUGUGGCUAAUAAUUUACUUUUUUGUUCUUUUUUGUUGUAAAAGCGUCAUAUUAACUACCUUUUGAGCGCAUGAAAAUGCAUAUUCGAAACAUUGCUGAGUUCAGAUUGAUUGAAUUUGACUGUGACCUUAGUGAGCCAUUCAUUUAUUCAACAAGGUUUGAUUGAACAUUUACCAUCCUAUCACUUCAGCCCACACAUUGGACAACCAAUCAGAGUUAUCACACUUCUUAGGGCAUAAAACAGAUACAUAUUCAUUAAGUUACAUAUUCCCAGUCCAAAUUAGCUUGACCCAAUUCAAGUCUUCCUUCAGAUUUUUAGAGUUCUUGCCAAAUCGUUUUCCUAUUCCCAUUUUCUCUUCACUUCCCAUUGCCCUCUUGUCCUCAAUUUCUUUUGUGUUCAUUCUCUCUCUUCUUCUUGUUUUCAGUUUCUGUCUUCUCUUUCACAAAGUUUUCUCACUUAGCUAUAAUGUAUGUUUAAUAAUACACUAUUUCAUUAUUGUGUUACUCAAAAUCCUCAAGCCACUUUAUCUCAAGAUGCAAAUACCUAGACCUCAGGUUCAAAGCUAAUAAUCUAAGACAAUUCAAAUGUCGAAUCACAUUUCAAAAUAUUUUCUUCCUGUUCAGCCAUACAAGUCUCCUUGUUGUCCCCUGAAUACACUAAGUUCUCACUUAACGUCAGUAGUAGGCUCUUGGAAACUGCAACUUUAAGCAAAACAACAUAACAAAACCAAUUUUACCACAGGCUAAUCGAUAGAAAAAAGAGUUUAGUUUCUAUGGUAUAUUUCUAGUCACAAAAACAUCACAGAACUUCUAAAUAAAGACUCAAAACAUUUCCAAUAUUAAACAUUGAAAUGAAUGUGAGCUACACAUACAUUUAAGAAUGAGUAAUAAAAACAAGUAUGAUAAUUAUUUACCCAAUUUUUGGUGAAUCAGUAAAUGACAAUGGCUGUAGUGGUGGUGGUUAAAACAAGGAAUAAAUGUUCGUAAAGUGCAAAUUGAAAGGGGCAUGUCCCUGCAUCAAGCAGUUCCAGAACAGUCACAAAUAUGAUGAGUCCCGUUAGCACUUUCUUACCACAUUGCUUAUUGUCAUGGAUCUCUAUGAUUAUUGCAGGUGAAUGUAUUUACUCACUAAUUCACUUUCCAACCAAGUUAUUCUAGUUCAGGGUCUUGGAUGGCCAGAGCCUAUCCCCCACAGCUUAGGGUACAAGGCAAAAACUGACCCUAGAUAGGAUGUCAUUCCAUCACAGGGCGCACUCACCCACACACCCACAGUCACUCACACUGGGCCCAUGUAGACACACCAGUCAACCUAGUGGGCACAGCUUUGAGAUGUGAGAGGAAACCAGAGUACCUGGAGAAAACCCACGCAGACCUGGGGAAAACAUGCAGAUUCCAGAGAGAUGGUGGCCCCAGGCAAGUAUUGAUUUUUUUUCUCAUCAACAUUGUAACAAAAUACUGUUAAAGGAACAGACAUUAUUUGAGGACCUGCUGUAUGUUGUGUAGAAUCCCACCUCCAUAACUUCAUUCACAAUAGUCUCCUCGCCCAACAUACCAUCUUUCUUAUCUAUGCCAUUCUUCGAAACUUGACAAACUUCUAAACUGAAAUAGCAAAGCUGAUCACCUGAGUCCAGGAGAGACCAAGCUGCCCUCCAUAUUCCCAUGACAUUUUUUUUUGUCUUGUUCAUGGCAUACUAGAUUGUACACUUUCUUGAAUUUUUGCCUUUUAAUAUGUUUUGUUAUUUCAACCAACACAGUGUAUCUUUCCCAAGUCAUGCAUCUAGCAAUUGGUGAGACCAAGCUGUCCUCCUUAUUCCCAUAACAUUUUUUUUUGUUUCGUUCAUGGGAUACCAGAUUGUAUACUUUCUUGAAUUUUUGCCUUUUAAUAUGUUUUAUUAUUUCAACCAACAUAGUGUAUCUUUCCCAAGGCCAUGCAUCUAGUUACUGGCAUUCCAGGAUUCAAAUAGUUAUUAGGCUGGUUGCAAAGUACAAUUUUCCCACUUAUGAAAAAAACAAAUGAAAGAAAAAUCAUCAGUAUUUAAAGACUAAUUUAAAUGGGUAGAAAGAGAGAUAUGAGCACCACUAACAGAAAAUAGGAAAGACUUUUUAUUAGUCUUGGGGUCAAGCUCAUUGUUAGAACUGAUGUGCAUGAGAGGAGAACCUACAAGCAGACAUAUCAAUUGGGAAUUUGGAAAUUUCUGAUCAGAGCUCAGGAAUAAUAACAGGCCCAGAUAUUUAAAUUUGGAAGUCAUAAUAAUAAAAAAUAUGAGAUUUUAAUUUUGGAAGUGGGCCUGGGAAGUAACCAUCCAACUGCUUUAUUUUCUAGAUUAUACACAUAUCUAUAUAGAGGUCACAUGUGAAAGAUCAGAUACGGUCAUU